CACAUCGAUGAAGAACACAGUGAAAUGUGAUAAGUAAUGUGAAUUGCAGAAUUCAGUGAAUCAUNGAAUCUUUGAACGCACCUUGCACCUUUUGGUAUUCCAAAAGGUACACCUGUUUGAGUGUCAUGA
rnacentral:rRNA from 1 species